GUUUAUGGUCCAACAACUAAGAUAAUUGCCUUCCAAGCAUUAGACCUGGGUUCAAGUCCCUGCAUAUGCA
rnacentral:tRNA from 1 species